CCCAGCUGUAAGCCAUUGUCUAGGUUGGUUGUACCUAGGCACAUGUUAAACUGCUGGGAGAAAAACAGCUAAUAGCCGGUGGGCAUUCUGGGCCUGUUAAUGCCAAAUUUGUGUUAACUAUACCAGUUUGCCAAUAUA
ensembl:snoRNA SNORA74 Small nucleolar RNA SNORA74